CCCUUAGAUGUUCUGGGCCGCACGCGUGCUACACUGAGUGGAUCAGCGGGUCAGGUUGCGCGAAAGCGUUUCCUAAUCUUUAAAUCCGCUCGUGAUGGGGAUUGACGGUUGCAAUUUUCUGUCAUGAACGAGGAAUACCUUGUAAGCGCGGGUCAUCAUCCCGCGCUGAAUACGUCCCUGCCCUUUGUACACACCGCCCGUCGCUCCUACCGAUUGAGUGGUCCGGUGAAUAAUUCGGACCGAUGCAGUGCUCAGCUUCUGAACUUUGCAUUGGAAAGUUUAGUGAACCUUAUCACUUAGAGGAAGGAGAAGUCGUAACA
rnacentral:rRNA from 1 species